CAGGGAUUGCCCUAGUAACGGCGAGUGAAGCGGCAACAGCUCAAAUUUGAAAGCUGGCCUUCGGGUCCGCAUUGUAAUUUGUAGAGGAUGCUUUGGGUGAAACGCCAGUCUAAGUUCCUUGGAACAGGACGUCAUAGAGGGUGAGAAUCCCGUAUGUGACUGGAAAUGUUAACCUAUGUAAAGCUCCUUCGACGAGUCGAGUUGUUUGGGAAUGCAGCUCUAAAUGGGAGGUAAAUUUCUUCUAAAGCUAAAUAUUGGCGAGAGACCGAUAGCGCACAAGUAGAGUGAUCGAAAGAUGAAAAGCACUUUGGAAAGAGAGUUAAAAAGCACGUGAAAUUGUUGAAAGGGAAGCGCUUGCAAUCAGACUUGUUUAAACUGUUCGGCCGGUCUUCUGACCGGUUUACUCAGUUUGGACAGGCCAGCAUCAGUUUCGGCGGCCGGAUAAAGGCUCUGGGAAUGUGGCCUUCACUUCGGUGAAGGUGUUAUAGCCCAGGGUGUAAUACGGCCAGCCGGGACUGAGGUCCGCGCUUCGGCUAGGAUGCUGGCGUAAUG
rnacentral:rRNA from 1 species